rnacentral:tRNA from 1 species
GCCGUCGUAGCUCAGUCGGUAGAGCACGUCAUUCGUAAUGACGGGGUCGGGGGUUCGAAUCCCUUCGACGGCACCA